GACGAGCGCUGGCGGCGUGCUUAACACAUGCAAGUCGAACGGAAAGGCCCUGCUUUUGUGGGGUGCUCGAGUGGCGAACGGGUGAGUAACACGUGAGUAACCUGCCCUUGACUUUGGGAUAACUUCAGGAAACUGGGGCUAAUACCGGAUAGGAGCUCCUGCUGCAUGGUGGGGGUUGGAAAGUUUCGGCGGUUGGGGAUGGACUCGCGGCUUAUCAGCUUGUUGGUGGGGUAGUGGCUUACCAAGGCUUUGACGGGUAGCCGGCCUGAGAGGGUGACCGGCCACAUUGGGACUGAGAUACGGCCCAGACUCCUACGGGAGGCAGCAGUGGGGAAUAUUGCACAAUGGGCGGAAGCCUGAUGCAGCAACGCCGCGUGCGGGAUGACGGCCUUCGGGUUGUAAACCGCUUUCGCCUGUGACGGAGCGUGAGUGACGGUAAUGGGUAAAGAAGCACCGGCUAACUACGUG
rnacentral:rRNA from 1 species